ensembl:misc_RNA 7SK 7SK RNA
GGAUGUGAGGGUGAUCUGGCUGCAACAUCUGUCGCCAGGGUUGAUUCGGCUGAUCUGGAUGACUAGGCAGGUGUCCCCUUCCUCCAUCACCGCUCCAUGUGUGUCCCUCCUGAAGUUGCACACUCAGUGGAAGAGGACAUCCAUCCCAGAUAGAAGGUGUGUACCAAUCUUCGGUCAAGGGGAUAUAAUAGAUACAAACAUCUCUCUGUGUCUUU